ensembl:lncRNA
CAGCACAGCCUUCUGGGAAGUGUAGUUACGGGGCCAGGAUCGCUGGGCUCCGGCCCCGUCCCUCUCCCCCUAGGCUGCGGAAAUGCCCUGCAUCUGGACAGGAACACGCGGAGGCCCCUCUUCACACCUUCCUGGGGAGCGGCCGUGACCUGAGGCUCCGGGAGCAGCUCACACCGGCCAGGGGGCAGGAGGCUCCUGGCACGGGGGGUGGGCAGAAUUCCCAGACGGAGAGUGCCACCCACCGCCUAGAGCCCGGCCCAUACCGUGCCCUCCAAGACCAGCUCCGAGAGCACCCCCCACGGUGGGUGCCCUGCUCAGAGGUCCUGUCGCCCUCCGGCCCCUGUGCCGCGUCCCCACCGGCUUCAGGACCGCCUGCCUCGCCGCUUCCACUGCUCUGCUGAAAAGCGUUCAGCCACCACCCCCCCUCUGCCUCCUAGAGGUAGAACCUGAGCACCUGCAUUUCAGAUACUGCCCUGAGGACCUCGAGGCUACAGCCCUGUGGCUCCCC